rnacentral:rRNA from 1 species
AUUGAACGCUGGCGGCAGGCCUAACACGUGCAAGUCGAGCGGAUGAAGGGAGCUUGCUCCCUGAUUUAGCGGCGGACGGGUGAGUAAUGCCUAGGAAUCUGCCUGGUAGUGGGGGAUAACGUCCGGAAACGGGCGCUAAUACCGCAUACGUCCUACGGGAGAAAGCAGGGGACCUUCGGGCCUUGCGCUAUCAGAUGAGCCUAGGUCGGAUUAGCUAGUUGGUGAGGUAAUGGCUCACCAAGGCGACGAUCCGUAACUGGUCUGAGAGGAUGAUCAGUCACACUGGAACUGAGACACGGUCCAGACUCCUACGGGAGGCAGCAGUGGGGAAUAUUGGACAAUGGGCGAAAGCCUGAUCCAGCCAUGCCGCGUGUGUGAAGAAGGUCUUCGGAUUGUAAAGCACUUUAAGUUGGGAGGAAGGGCAGUAAGCUAAUACCUUGCUGUUUUGACGUUACCGACAGAAUAAGCACCGGCUAACUUCGUGCCAGCAGCCGCGGUAAUACGAAGGGUGCAAGCGUUAAUCGGAAUUACUGGGCGUAAAGCGCGCGUAGGUGGUUCGUUAAGUUGGAUGUGAAAGCCCCGGGCUCAACCUGGGAACUGCAUCCAAAACUGGCGAGCUGGAGUACGGUAGAGGGGUGGGGGGAAUUUCCUGUGUAGCGGUGAAAUGCGUAGAUAUAGGAGGGAACACCAGUGGCGAAGGCGACCACCUGGACUGAUACUGACACUGAGGUGCGAAAGCGUGGGGAGCAAACA